rnacentral:rRNA from 1 species
UACGUAGGCAGCGAGCGUUGUUCGGAGUUACUGGGCGUAAAGGGUGUGUAGGCGGUUGUUUAAGUUUGGGGUGAAAUCUCCCGGCUCAACUGGGAGGGUGCGCCGAAUACUGAAUGACUAGAGUGCGGGAGAGGUGAGUGGAAUUCCUGGUGUAGCGGUGAAAUGCGUAGAUAUCAGGAGGAACACCGGUGGUGUAGACGGCUCACUGGACCGUAACUGACGCUGAGACACGAAAGCGUGGGUAGCAAACAGG